UCCCUUCACACACAGAGGAACACGCUCAUUGUCACCAUCUACACACACGCACACUCUUUCACGCAUUUGAAAUUUCUUCAUAACAGCUGAAACAAAAGCUGGGGAAAUUAAAAAAAAUUCAAAUGAAGAUCUGAAAAAAUCACAGAAGCUCAAAAAACAAAAGAAAACUGGGAUUUCGAAGAAGAUUUAGGGAGUAAUUGAUUGCUGAAUUUUCAAAGUUCAAAUUCCUCUUCCCUGGAUAUAUAAAAGGCUGUUGAAGCUCGAAUUCGUGGCUGUUUGUUGUUGUUUGUUGCUGUUCUGUACUGGAAACUGUUCCUGUUGCUCUAUUAAGCUAAUAGGUAAAUUCAGAAGAGCCCUUUGAAUUUUGUUAUAUUUAUUGAUGACCGGACUCCUGUUUCCUACUUGAAAUCGUGUCUAACUGUUGAUUCAAUGUUUGUUUGCCUUUGAAUGAUUCAACAGAUUCCUCCUGUG
rnacentral:lncRNA from 1 species